rnacentral:rRNA from 1 species
GAUGAACGCUGGCGGUGUGCCUAAUACAUGCAAGUCGAGCGAACAGACGAGGAGCUUGCUCCUCUGACGUUAGCGGCGGACGGGUGAGUAACACGUGGAUAACCUACCUAUAAGACUGGGAUAACUUCGGGAAACCGGAGCUAAUACCGGAUAACAUGUUGAACCGCAUGGUUCAACAGUGAAAGACGGUUUUGCUGUCACUUAUAGAUGGAUCCGCGCCGCAUUAGCUAGUUGGUAAGGUAACGGCUUACCAAGGCAACGAUGCGUAGCCGACCUGAGAGGGUGAUCGGCCACACUGGAACUGAGACACGGUCCAGACUCCUACGGGAGGCAGCAGUAGGGAAUCUUCCGCAAUGGGCGAAAGCCUGACGGAGCAACGCCGCGUGAGUGAAGAAGGUCUUCGGAUCGUAAAACUCUGUUAUUAGGGAAGAACAAAUGUGUAAGUAACUAUGCACGUCUUGACGGUACCUAAUCAGAAAGCCACGGCUAACUACGUG